rnacentral:rRNA from 1 species
CGUAUCCUACGGGAGACAGCAGUGAGGAAUAUUGGUCAAUGGGAGAGAUCCUGAACCAGCCAAGCCGCGUGAGGGAAGACGGCCCUAUGGGUUGUAAACCUCUUUUGUCGGAGAACAAAACCCGGGACGUGUCCCGGACUGCGUGUAUCCGAAGAAAAAGCAUCGGCUAACUCCGUGCCAGCAGCCGCGGUAAUACGGAGGAUGCGAGCGUUAUCCGGAUUUAUUGGGUUUAAAGGGUGCGCAGGCGGAAGAUCAAGUCAGCGGUAAAAUUGAGAGGCUCAACCUCUUCGAGCAGUUGCAACUGG